UGAAGCUGCUAGCAAAGAAAAAGCGAACGGCCAAGCAGUUCUGCUGUGUUCCUCGGUGCGUACCAGCGAGAUGGAAGGACAGCGAUAUUUCCGUUCACGCACUUCCCUCCGAGUGGAAAGGCUGAAGCCGCAGAACCAGGUGGAUCGCUAAACUCCGCAUCGGCAAGGCUGUGACGCUUACAGUGACUGUUUGCUCACGGCAUUUUGCACGGGAUAAUUUCUCCUUACCAGAUGUAGCAUGUCAAAGACAGCGGCUGAAAAAAAUGCAGUACCAACUGAAAACCUGCCAAGGACGUCAUGUUAUGAUGAGAACAAGGAUGCUCAUAUGAAAGAGCUUUCACUGGCAAGACUUCGCCGACGUGUGUAUCGGUCAGCCAGAAAUGAAUCAAGCAAAGAAACUGUUGCCUCCCCAUUAGAAGCAAAGGUGUUGCCCCAUGCACCUGUCAGCACGACCACCAUGGUAAAUUGGCUGCCUGCAACUUGUGCACACAUUGCUUCACCACUAAUUCCUUGGGAUUAAACUCUGACAUUGCAGGACGAUCUCCCAUCCCCUGACCGCAACAGCAUGGACCAAAUAAGUGACAAAGGAAAUAUGGUAAUUUCUUUUUGAAGUUCAGUGUUUGACGGAAGCCCGUCUGGUCGGGAUGAAACAUGGUUAAAAGGGUAAACAAAAACCCGGGGCACUUCGCCGACCAAAUAAAGAUUUAAAAGAAAAGAAGACGUUUCGGCUCCCACACGGGAGCCUUGUUCACAGGUAAAAUAAACAAAGGUGCUCGAGCAGCUCGCUUAAAUAGUCUAGAACACGUGACGCAGGCAGCGCGCAUACACUGACGGCAGAUUGCCAUCGCUCCUGUUCAGAGUGUGUGGCGUAGUCUGGAUCAUGAGGGACUCAAGAUAAAGGCGUCGAGAUAGCCCUUUUUCCCUGGCAAUUUCUUUUUGUAUAUGUAUGUGUUGUGGUAGCUGUCUUUACCUAGACGGUGGCAUGCUUUCUGGAUUUACAUCGUAAAAGCAUUG